AGAGAAGUGAGCGACUUUAUCUAGGGCUUCUAACUUUAGAAAAAGAGGUUUAACUCCUUUUGCUUCUCUA
rnacentral:tRNA from 1 species